rnacentral:rRNA from 1 species
AACCCUUGUCAUUAGUUGCUACAUUCAGUUGGGCACUCUAAUGAGACUGCCGGUGACAAAGCCGGAGGAAGGUGGGAUGACGUCAAGUCCUCAUGGCCCUUAUAGGUGGGGCUACACACGUCGUACAAUGGCUGGUACAAAGGGUUGCCAACCCGCGAGGGGGAGCCAAUCCCAUAAAGCCAGUCGUAGUCCGGAUCGUAGUCUGCAACUCGACUACGUGAAGUCGGAAUCGCUAGUAAUCGUGGAUCAGAAUGUCACGGUGAAUACGUUCCCGGGUCUU